CCAUAUCGCUGGGGGUGCUGCGCAAGCGGCUGAGACUCCGGGGAGUUCGGAGAUCCCUUUGAACCUGAUCCGGUUAAUGCCGGCGUAGGAAAUGCGUUCCCGCGGAUCG
rnacentral:ncRNA from 1 species